UAAAGAAUAUCUCGCCACUCCUUGACGAGUAGCUGUCAAAUACUGCCAUUUUUUGACGUCACGUGACCGGCCCGGACCAGGGCUUCCUCGUGUCUCGCCUCGUCCCACACUGAAGCCCUGGGAACGAGGUUGCCAUAAGUGCUGACGUCCAGAAUUUGAAAAGGCCAGCCCAUUUGGAUAUUGCCCUAAAUAAUAUCUGUAUUACCCGAUGACUAGGAAGGCACAGGGAUAUUGCAGAAAGCAACCUAAUACCGUUCACUCAACAUGGUCAAUGGGCAAGUGAACUAGGUGAGGCUGUCCUCAUACAACUAAUGCACCUAUCAAUGUUAAGCCCCAGAGGGAGGGUGGACAUAGGUGGGGCAUUUGAUUUUUUGAGCAAAUUUUCAAUCAAAUGCCCCACCGUCGGGCAAUAAAUAUUGGUCAAAUACCCCACCAUUUUGCAAUAAAUACUAUAUUAAUAAGUCAUAAUCGGUUCAAAUUUCCCCAACUUGGGGCCAAAAUGGUAAUCG